GUGCUUGCUUUGGCAGCACAUACACUAAAAAUGGAGCUAUACAAAGAAGAUUAGCAUGGCCCCCGUGCAAGAAUGACAUAUACAAAUAUAUAUAUACACACAUACAU